AAAAAUCGAAUGACGAUUAUUCAAUUGAAGUCUCCGCAGGACCUUCGCAUUCCUUCUCCUUUGCAUUGAAACCCCCAUAUCCAAGAAACCGUGCACGGGGGCGAACGUAAACAAGUUUCGUCGUUCUUGGAGGAUGCUCGAGCAAUAAAUGGAAGACCAGAUAUGGGAGGCCGAUUGGAACAGUGUGUCGACAUCGCUGCUUGGUCGCUCGUUGGAUGCGUUGCUUGGCUCUCGCCAGAGAGAGCUGGACGCCGUGCUCUCUCGCACCGAUUUGAAGUCAGGGAGGAAGUCUGGAAGUGGUCUUCUUCCUUCCACGGACGGUCCUUUGGAUGACGCACUUCUCUUUCUGCACAAGUACGUGAAGGAUUGUGUUGGCAGGAGCGAGCCCAUGGAUCACAUUCUUGUUCCGAUCAUCGAAAGCGUGCAGUCAAGCUGAAGGGUUCAAAAAGGUUCAAACAAAUGUUGGGCAUUGUUCAGCGGCUUUUUGAAGACGAUGAGCUUUUCCUUGCUUUUGCAAAUUAUCUUGUGGGGAUUAUCACAAGGAAAGUAGAUCAUUUUAUUUCACUUGGGUGGUGCGCCCUAGUCCGUGGACUUGUUUCCCUCGAGUUUUCUGGAAGUAGAUUGCCAGAAGUAGGUUUGUCUAAGCAUUUCUUACAUCAUCCACUCAAUGCCAUUGCAAGCAAUCAAUACAAUAAAUGUCAAUAAUUAUGUUCCUUCUGUUUUGGUAUCAGAAUUUGCCAUAAUCUAAGUUGACAGAUGCAUCUGAACAUGAGGACCAUGAACUGGAGGGGGUGUCAACUUCUGGGCUGGCGUUCCUGAAUGGGAAACACAGAUGAUUGGCACAUGCAACACCUUGUUUGAAUGCCUGACAUUAAAUUGGGGCAGGAUAUUGUAGUCAAAUUCCCAGCAUAAGGUACGACUCUAGAACCAUCAAUUGCCUCCUAAGCACAUUAUAAAAAAUCAGAGGUGAAUUUGGAGACAUCUGUAGUUGUGGUUCAGGGUUCCAAAUGAGGUCUCUUUUGAAUCUUGAAUAAAAGAUUAUCUCUUGUAGGGAUAUUACUUUUCCUUUAGCUGUUAUGAACUUGCCCUGGCAUCAGGAUAUACUGGUGCUUCCCUGUUGCUAGCGGCUAUUAGAUUAUUUAAUUAGUUUUAUUAUACCACAACGAAUAGAUGUUUCGUCAUACUAUGUUCUGCUUAUGUUUCUUUUCCUAAAGUGGCUUAUUUCUUGAAUUUUUGUGCUAAAUAGUUUGUUAAAUCUAUAUAUGUAAAGUUGCUUUUCAGCUCCUAUGUGAUAACUGGAUGUAGUACUUUUUCCUUCUGCAAAUGAAGUUGCUUUACUGAUUGUUAACAUGCUUAAAUUGUUCUAAGAAUGUGCAUGUCGUUUUACUUUGUAUAUGUAAACUAUGUGUGUUCAUUACAUGUUUAUACUUUUUAUGAAUAGAUUCUAAAUUCUGUGACAAUUCCAGUUAAACACUACAGGCUUCAAAAAAUUCUGAAGAUUCUUACUGUGUCAAUUGCACGCCUUUCAUCUAUUAUGUCUGAAGGAAGGUUGGUUGUUCAUAAUGGUCAUUUAUUGGGUUUUUGUGGUUUGGAAUCAUUAAAACAAGUAACUAUGCUGUUGGUCGUCAAUCAUCGUCCUCUUGAUGGUAGACCAUGCACAGUACAUGUUGCGAGAUAAGCGUUAAAAUAUAUUUUGCUGCUACUUUCCAGCAUUCUUUUAUGAUUGUAAAUCCAGGUACUUGAGGCUUGCCCCAUGCUAUGUUGAACGGAUUAAAGUAUUGUUGUACUUGCCUUAAUUGUGUGGCUUACAUGGCUUUCACAUGUUUUGAUUUGCUUUCAAAUAAUCAUUUUCUGCUCAAGAUAUUGCAAGUCUGACCUAUUUGUUGACCUAGUAUUUCCUAACUAUGGAGGUCAGUCUUCUGUGCUUCUCUAUGUUUCCGGAGGCUUAUAUACAUGCAUCUGCAUCUGCACCUGCACUUGCAUGUGUAUGUAGAUUUAUUUCUCCACAUAUCGGAGCAGAUGGCUUGUUUCUGUUCCAUCUGUUUGUGCAUGUACAUAUACCAGGAAAAUUCAAGCCAUGAGUGCUUUUGUUGAUUCUUUCCAGUGUCACAGAUAUUGCAAGACUUUCAAAAAAUGACAUUGUUUGAAGUUCUAAAAUGGUCAUUUUGUUCCAUCAUGGCGACUCAUGAAGAUAUCCACUAGGCACCUCAGUUCCAAUUGCAGAACUGCAUAAGUGAUUCAUUAUCAUGAUAAUCAAAGCGUUUUAAAGCGCUGGUUGCUUAGAAAUAGUUAGCCUAGAUGACCAGCAUGUGCGUAGGUGUUCUAGGUGCAUCUUUGACAGCAUGGGGAACAUGCGGAUCAAACUGUAGACUUCCUGGAUCAGAUAGAGAUACUCUAGGUUUGUUCUUAUUUUCAUGAUCUCUGGUACAAUAGAUUGAGGCUAAUUUAUAAGCUAUAAGUGAAUACAGUGCCAUCGACAUGGAAUAAUAGGUCGAUGAAAAGGACGCCUAAUUUGGAAUGAUCGACUGCAUGGGGAAGACUUAUAUCAUAGUAUCUGCAGUUAUUUUCCCCAAUCCACUUCGUGAUUGCUGAUCGAGUACCUUGUUUUGCUGCUUCUCUUGACUUCGGGUUUAGGUCAUGUAUUGGGAGGUUCUUAGUGCCACAAUUUGGCCGGGUUUCAGUUGUAGGCAUCAGGUAGAUCGGUUGCAUGUAGUUCUGAUUUCAUCAACUAACAUGGACUGGAGGUCUCUUCAGGGAUUUUUGUGUUUAUAAAGUAUGGUGCCUUCAUUUCAAUUAAGUGUUGUCAUGCUCGUCAGGAACGUUAGUGUUGUAUGUUGUUGCUGUGGAUAGGAAAUUUUGGAAGUCUAUGUUUGUUUCAGGCGAAACAGUUUCCUCAGUUGUUAGCUUAAUAAUUUUUUUCUGUGACAUGGAUUCAAGAGUUUUGAGAUUCGCCUCGUCGCUUGGUCAUGUUUCACAGGGUAGAAGCUAAACUCUAGGGUUAUCAUUUGUAGUCAACGAAUGAAAAUCAGUUCUCUAAGUGGUGUAGCUUGGUUCAGGGGUUUCAUAGAUAUCUCAAACAGGAAUCAAGUCAAGAUAUCAUGCAAAGGAAGGGCAGCAUAAAGUCAUGGUAAGGAGUAAGUAGAUGACAUAAAUAAAGUCAAGUCCAUGACACCUCCAUGUAUGACGACAUUGUGUGUGGAUGUUUUUUGCUAAUGCUUUAUUAGUUUGUGGUCAAGAACAUAUUUUGCAAAGUCCUUAUGUAACCAGGGGACAAGACUUUGGAUAGUAGUACAUUUAGAGUCUAACAGAGUCAAAUCCUGUAGUUGUCAUUAUCAUGCACUUGAUGAUUUUGCAAAACCCAUCACAUAGGAUUGGUUUAUCCCGGGCUUCAUUUGGGGAAAGAUAAGAGCUUAACCUAAACCAUUUGUAAAACUUUCAAUCAGUUGAGGACUCAAACAUUCAUGGAAAAUGCCUUUCGUAUAGAAGCCCCUAGGAGAGUUGGUGAAGUUCAUCUUUCUACCCAACCAACCUAUGCUAUUUUGCGUUCAUCCUCUUCUUUAAAGUAGAAUUCCUUCCUCUUGGUGAUAUACCAUUUGAUGUUAAGAAUUUUUGUAAAAGUGAUAAUUUUCAGUUUUGCUUAAAAACAUUUUAAAAGUGUCUUCUCACUCAAUGAUGUGGCUUUUCUUUAUUCUUAGUACCUCCGUGAGCAGAAGGAUAAAUUUUCAAAUUUUUGUUGCCAAACAGUGGAGGAGGAAAAUUGAAAAGAUCUUGAAUAUGAGCACUAAGGAAAGGUCCUAUGAAGUUGAGGAAGUCGAGACUAGGAAAUGCUAUUGACUCUGGUAAUCAAGCAUUUGCAAGGAUUUAGCAGGAAGAUAUCUUGAGAGAGAAGCCAAAAUGCUUUGUAAGAUCUUGGUAGGUAGCAAAAUGAGAGUUGAGAGAUUGUCUCGGGGCUUGUGUAGUCAUUUCUCUGGGUCAGUAAUCAAGAGUACCGGGUAGGCAUAUAGGUGAUUUAUGUCUAUACCGCGAAGAUAACGACUUAUGAACCUUUGGCUCGUCGAAAACCCACAAGGUGAAGCGGGUUGGAUACGCGACAAAGCUACACAUAACCACCAAAGCGGUGGAGCUUCGUAGUAGCCUUUGGGGUGGUGAGGUAUUCCCUCAAAGGUGAAGGUCGGCCUAAAAAAAAAAUCAAGAAAAAAAACAAUUUAAAGGCAAAAGCUGAAUGCAAGAGAAAGAAAAAAAAAAGAAAAAAAAGCAAAAGGUGUUGCCAAGAGAUGAAAGGCAUGAAGGCUGAACUCGCAGGAAUUAAAUGUGAAAAUCUUUGGUAGAUGUGCGGUCCUAGGGUCAAUACCUUCUCCUAUUUUUUAUUACCUAAGAUGCUGAGGAUGAUUCCUUUAUGUUCAUAUUUUGGAAAUUGAAAGGCGUCCCUUCUAGAGAUUUGACGACAUUGACGCGAAAUGAAUCCUAAUGUUUGUACGGUAGGUGCUAUGUGUAAAUGAAGGCUAUAUUAUUUGCACAACACGAGCACUCAUGCUUAUUAGUUAAAUUGAUCAUUUUUGAACUAUUUCAAACUAAAAACUUGACAUCUCUAGUCAUAGGAGGAACUAACCAGUCUCCUUUGGUCUUGAAAUAUGUUUGUCAUUUCAUUCCCAAUUCCCUUUGGCCUUGAAAGAUGUUGGCCAUUCCAUUACCAAACCAUUAGUCCAUUCCUGGAAUAGAUGAAACUCCUCGAACCCAGUAACUCAUGUUGAGUGUGACGAAUUUCAUUUCUUUGUCUCAAGAGAUGCAUAUCAUUUGGGAUAAGUGAUUAAGCCUGACCCAUUAUUCCAUCUUUACAGAGUGUCUUUAACAUAACCCUGACUUAGGGUUGAGUCUGUCAUGGAACACCUCUUAUCUCUUUUCAAAAGGACCAAUCAAUUUUGUAUUCCAUUUUGAACUGUGACAUUUUUGAAAGGUUCUAUUCAUCGAAGUUGCAUGAGUUUUGGGUUUUAUGUCCUCAGGUCCUUCAUGGUUUUAGACGAGCAUGAUGCUCAACAAUGUUAUAAGAAGCGUACGCUUCAUGGAGAAAAAACACGACUCAAGACGUUUUUUUUAAAAAACGCCUUGAGCCAUCUCCAACGUCAAAAAUCCAUCAGCUAUUUUCUCUGCCCUUUCGAGGUAAGGUGUCUGAUACUGCUCGGCUCUUCAUGCCUUCUUUCUUUCGUGGCCGAGAGAGAGAGAGGGGGAGGCGGAGGGGAGUUUCGGCUGUUCAUGCCUUCUUUCUUUCGUGGUGGGAGAGAGAAAGGGGGAGGCCGAAGGGAGCUUCGGGGCCGACGCUUUGCAGUCAUAUCCUUUUUUUUUUGCCAUUUGUCAUCAUUUGCCAUCAUUAGAAGUUGGACGUGUUCAUGGAUGGUGGUCCUCAUGCCCAAUGUUGCCAUUUGUUGCAAGUGGCGUUGAGCAGCAAAAGACUACAACACUAUUAUAAGUGAUGUUGGGUGGUCUAUUUUAUCCUAAAUCAGAUUUGCUUUGCUUAACUGCAUAGGUUGAUCGUGUUGGUGAGUCGGUGACCAUCCAAAUUUGUGUCUUACAGAUAAAGAUUAAAAUAUUGAACCGUAAGUAGACAAUCUACCCACCGUUGCCAUCAUCUUGUGCAUCUAAUGCAUCUUUAACUUAUUAUAUUUUCAUUCAAAUUUUUUACAUGUCUUAGUUUAUGCUGUUUUUUAUAAAUAUGUUGUUGCUUGUUAAUAUGUUAUUGUUGUCACUUGUUAAUAAUUCAAAUUUGUCAUAUAGUGUUAAUAUUUGUUACAUUAUGUGUUUGUUGUUAAUAUUUGUUACACUAUGUGCUAAUUAUAUGACAUUGUAUUUGUUUGAAUUUACAAAUUAUUGUUGUUUGCAUGUAAUGUUCUUUAAUUAUUUGCUUAGUAUUGUAGUCAUUUUUUUCAGUUUUGUUGUUAUUUUUAUAAAUAUUAUAUAAUUCACAAAUUUGUCCUUGAAGCUUACGCUUCAAUUAACGCCUCGUCUCGCCUCGCCUCAUGAGAAGAUUAACGCCUCGCCUCACUUUUUGAUGCUCAGUUUCUCUUGUAUCACAUUAGUGUCAGAUUAGUUGAAUAGAUCCUUUAGUUAGCUAUUACACAUGUACAUGUAUACAGUGUACAUUAUAAUAUGUAUGUAUGAUAUAUAUGUUAUAUUACAUAUAUAUAAUAUGCAUAUGACAUAUAUUAUAUAUAAUUAUACUAUAUUAUAUGACACAUAUUAUUUAAUAUAUUAUGUAUGUACAUGUAUGAUAUAUAUAUAUAUAUAUAUGCCUGUUUAUCUCAUUGCAAGUUGAGCUAUCUUUAUGUCUUAACUUGUUGUGUAGAGGUAUUAGUCCCUAGGGCGUCUUGGUGAAAUUUUUAAAGCGUCGUCAAUUGCAUGAGUCUUAGUUUGAUUUUAGUUGAUUUUGAUUCUUAGUUUAGUUUGAUUUUAGUUGAUUUUGAUUCUUAGUUUAGUUGAGUUUGGUUUCUAGGUAGACAUAUGUUGGAUAAGUUGGGAUGAUGUGGAUGAGCAAUAAGGAAACUAAGAGAGAACAUGGGUAAGCACGUGAUUUUAUUUGGUUUCCCUUAUGGACACAAAUUGGAUGGGCAUCACACUUAAUCCCCUCUCCUCACUCAUGGGUCCUAUUUCUCAUCGCUGUUUAGGUAGUAGUUUUUUUGAAAUGUGAUUCUUGAUUUUAUUUGAUUUGAUUUUUUUCAUUUACAUAAUCUUAUACUAGCUAACUACAUUCUUGUAGUCUUGCUACGUUUAGUUGUUUUAAAAUGUUGGAUAUGCUUGAGAAGGCCCUGUGGUGUUUCUGGCACAUAGCCAUCUAACCAUUCAUCUUAACAACCCCCCAUCUCCAGCAUGUGGUAGAUUUCCUUCUAUUUAUCCCUCCUUCUUGUUUGCUCUUCUUAGCUGGCGUAAAGAAUUUUCAAGUGUCAAAAGUGAGAGUAAGAGAAGGUGUUCCAUCUUCAAGCAUCAUCGAGCACACUGUCCACCACACUGCUGGGUCCUCCAUUGAACUUUCUCUUUACGGGUUGGGACUUGGUUCCAUUUGGAAUCGUGUAAGGUCAGGUCUCAUUGGUGAGUGCCAAACAGGUUUAGAGUCUUUAGACUUUGAGACCUAGGUUCAGUUUGUAUCUUUUUUUAUGUUCCAUGUGAUUCCAGCCUAUGGCCGUGCUCAGUUUAGAGUUAGUUUCAUGUAGUGUGUCAGUUAACUAGAGUCCUCAUCAUGUGAGACUAUUGUUGAAGGUCAAUUGUUCGGACUUUCUUCUUGUGGUGCUUGACUGGCCUUCUUUAGGUGCAUAUUUUAUUUGUAGUCUAAACCAGUGGGGACGUGGGUAGUUUUUUGAUUUUCAUGCUUGUUUGAAUCUUAGUUAGAGUGGUUGGUGUCUGAUUGUUAAGUGUCGUGUUUUCUUCAUUGAGCUUGUGAUUUUGAAUAUGUAUGUUAGUUGCGCAUGGCAUGGUUACACCGAUUUAUAUUUUAGAAUGUAUAUGAAUGUUGGAGCUGUUAUGCCUUGGUAUUUACUUUGUGUGUUUGUUUCUCUUCAUUAGUCAAGCCUUUCUGAAUGGGUCGAACCUAGUUAGUUAGUUGAAUGAUUUUGCAAACAUAUAUUAGUCAUCGAUUUGUUUUUUCGUUAUUUGUCUUCGGUCGUUGACAUUCCUUAUAUCAUAAGCAUUCAGUAUUUUUGAAGGUCAUCUGUUUCGUGUUGAGUCAAUACAACAUUUAGUUUUGGUAUCAACUCUUUACAAAGACAGGUCUAACCAUGAUUAGCAAACCUGUAAAAACUACAAAAAUCAUUCUAGAGUCAGAAGACUUAUGACGUUCUGAUCUGGGAUGAAGUUGAAUUUGGGUUUGAUUGUUGGUUUGAAGUUUCUUGUGUGAAAAUGAGCCGACAAAAUUUCAAAUUUUUUUUGAACUUUGAGUAGUUUGAUAUAUUGUUGUUAAACUUUUCACUGUUUCUAUUUCUCACAAACAAAAAUUUGGUAAACUGAGCUCUAUUUCUUGUUUCUUGAAUUCUAUUUAGGAAACGGAUUUUUCAAUUUUACUUUUUACAAAUUUUCUAGUUAUUAUUAUUAUUAUUUAUUUAGGGUUCUCUAUCCAUAUCAAAGCCAAUACUCCAACCUACACAGUUUUAGACUUUUUGUUUAGUGGGGAGAAUUGUGAUUUUGCAUGUAUUUGUGUGUUAUUGCUAGGAAAAUUAUCUAGUAAGGUUUUUGAUUGCCUUAUUUUGUUCGAGCCCUUGCUCACUUGGGUCUCCUGUAGAGUUAGGGCUCAAGCCUUUUCAUGUCUAUGGGAAAGGAGUCGGCUGCCGAGCCACUAGGUCCUUGCUUAAGGAACUUGAGGUGUCACUCUUCCUUGGAGUCCUUGGUGAGUCCGAGGAUAGGGAUGUGGUGCGACCUCUAGGGUGAGAAUAAGGAGGGAGGCAUAACGUGCAUGGGUGCUUAGGGACUUGGUAGGGAUUCAGCUUGGCUAGGUGGGUGCUAAAGGAGAGGGGUGUGGAGGGUAUGGGAGAGAGGGAGCGAGCUUGAAUCUCCCAUGUGCAUGUCCUUCAUCAUUUUCUGUACAGCCAAUCGAGUUUCUCUAAGUCCAACAUGGAUCCAUUUGGUUGUCCUUAUGAGAUUUAUGUUUUUUUUUUUGUGAAGAACACAUUUUAAAUUGAAUUUUCUUGAUGUUUUGAUCUAGUUCGAGAUGCGUGAAAGUUUGGUUUUAAAUUGAAUUUUCUUCUUGUUGCCUUCUUUGCAGCAGUUUAGUAUAGUGGGGACGUGGUUGAGGGUAGUGCUCGUGGUUCAAAAUGCCAUGCUUGUUUGAGUCUUAGUUAAAGUAGUUGCAGUUUGAUUGUUAACUGUCUGUGUUCUCUUCAUUGAGCUUGUGAUUCUAUUUAAAUGCAGAUACGUUAGUUGCACAUGUCAUGGCUAUACCCAGGUAUAUAAGGAUGCAUGUGUAUACUAGAGUUUUAUAGUCAUCUAUAUUUGCUGCUACUUCUUCUACAUCGGUAUCUUCACUUUGUUUUGUUUCUCACUUCAAGCCUCUUAUUUAUUGAAAAGGCUAGCCCCUUUCUCUCUUGAGUGCAUAGGACACUUAAAUAUGCUUUUUUGUGGGGGAGACUCUACCUGUCUUCAUAAUUGUUGAUGGUGCAGCAGAACAAGGAGGCAAUAGGAUGAUCUAUAAAGAUUUGAUCAUUGAUUCUGCAUGCAUUGUAUUUUCUCUUAAAAUUGGUAGCUAGGGGGUUGUGAAGAAAGGGAUUAGGAGCAUUUAUCACCUCCUCCUAUGCAUCAAUGUUCCAGUGCAAUUUUUGAAGUUGAAAGUUCAUCUACAAGCCAACAUGAGCCAUUAAUCAAUAUUUGUGUGAGACGAACCAUGCAUCCAUGCAUGCAUGGUGGUGAAGCAAAGGUGCUGGGAGGACUCCGAUUGUGUGAUGAGGAUGUAUUGUUUCUUUCCACCCCUUUCAUGUUUUGUUUCAAGCAUGCAUUUCGAAGAGAAUUUUGCAAUUUUGAAGAUUGAGGUGCCUGAUAUUUAACUGCAUUUUGAGUACUAUACUAUGUUGCAGACAAAAAAAUAUGGAAGGAGAACAAGCAGUGCGUGAUACACAGUCAAUGAGCCUUCAAAGAUGAAACAUCAGUGGCUGCAUUGGACUGUGGAGUUUUAUGAUCCUCAUUUGCAAUUUGAAGCGUUUACAUUUUAAAUGAUGUGAAAAAAGAUUUUCAACUUACUAUUUGUGCAUUAUUCUUUAAUUCCUUAAAUUGGUCAGCUUUCUAACUUUUUCCUCUAUUUCAGCGUCACCCUUUGGAGCAUAAGAUUGUAGUGCGACUUCUUGGAAUUCAAAUGGUUAGGUCCAAGUGUUUUCCCCAUUCUCCGGCAAGAUGACGUCAGCUCUGGCCGGCGGAGUCGUCACGAUUUGGAGUGGCAAUAGGGUUUGGAAAGAUGAGGCGAUCAUCAAGUGGCAGAAGCGUGAUGCUCAUGUGCUGCCGCAGUGCCACGACAUGGUCGAAGGCAGUCAAGCUGAAGGGUUCAAAAAGGUUCAAACAAAUGUUGGGCAUUGUUCAGCGGCUUUUUGAAGACGAUGAGCUUUUCCUUGCUUUUGCAAAUUAUCUUGUGGGGAUUAUCACAAGGAAAGUAGAUCAUUUUAUUUCACUUGGGUGGUGCGCCCUAGUCCGUGGACUUGUUUCCCUCGAGUUUUCUGGAAGUAGAUUGCCAGAAGUAGGCAGUCAAGCUGAAGGGUUCAAAAAGGUUCAAGCAAAUGUUGGGCAUUGUUCAACGACUUUUUUGAAGACGAUGAGCUUUUCCUUGCUUUUGCAAAUGAUCUUGUGGGGAUUGUCACAAGGAAAGUAGAUCAUUUUAUUUCACUUGGGUGGUGCGCCCUAGUCCGUGGACUUGUUUCCCUCGAGUUUUCUGGAAGUAGAUUGCCAGAAGUAGGUAACUCCAUAUUGCACAUGACAUAUUUUUCUGUUUUUAAAUGACAUAACUAGAACGUGAAGUGCUUGAGCAAAUUCAGUUGUAUAAAGCAAAUAUGCUUUCCAAUGAUUCUAAAUGGUUGCUAUGCUGGUUUCAGGUUUGUCUAAGCAUUUCUUACAUCAUCCACUCAAUGCCAUUGCAAGCAAUCAAUACAAUAAAUGUCAAUAAUUAUGUUCCUUCUGUUUUGGUAUCAGAAUUUGCCAUAAUCUAAGUUGACAGAUGCAUCUGAACAUGUAAAACAAUGAAACUUUUCGAGGUGGUUAAUUAGUUUUGGUUGGUUCAGAACUUAUCAUAAUCGUGAAUAAUACAAUUGAGGGAAAUCUAACCCGAAGAACUGAAGGAGGACCAUGAACUGGAGGGGGUGUCAACUUCUGGGCUGGUGUUCCUGAAUGGGAAACACAGAUGAUUGGCACAUGCAACACCUUGUUUGAAUGCCUGACAUUAAAUUGGGGCAGGAUAUUGUAGUCAAAUUCCCAGCAUAAGGUACAACUCUAGAACCAUCAAUUGCCUCCUAAGCACGUUAUAAAAAAUCAGAGGUGAAUUUGGAGACAUCUGUAGUUGUGGUUCAGGGUUCCAAAUGAGGUCUCUUUUGAAUCUUGAAUAAAACAUUAUUUCUUGUAGGGAUAUUACUUUUCCUUUAGAUGUUAUGAACUUGCCCUGGCAUCAGGAUAUACUGGUGCUUCCCUGUUGCUAGCGGCUAUUAGAUUAUUUAAUUAGUUUUAUUAUACCACAACGAAUAGAUGUUUCGUCAUACUAUGUUCUGCUUAUGUUUAUUUUCCUAAAGUGGCUUAUUUCUUGAAUUCUUGUGCUAAAUAGUUUGUUAAAUCUAUAUAUGUAAAGUUGCUUUUCAGUUCCUAUGUGAUAACUGGAUGUAGUACUUUUUCCUUCUGCAAAUGAAGUUGCUUUACUGAUCAUCAGUUGCAAUUGUUAACAUGCUUAAAUUGUUCUAAGAAUGUGCAUGUCGUUUUACUUUGUAUAUGUAAACUAUGUGUGUUCAUUACAUGUUUAUACUUUUUAUGAAUAGAUUCUAAAUUCUGUGACAAUUCCAGAUAAACACUACAGGCUUCAAAAAUUUCUGAAGAUUGUUACUGUGUCAAUUGCACGCCUUUCAUCUAUUAUGUCUGUAGGAAGGUUGGUUGUUCAUAAUGGUCAUUUAUUGGGUUUUUGUGGUUUGGAAACAUUAAAACAAGUAAUGUCUUAAAGAUAAUCUACGCUGUUGGUCGUCAAUCAUCGUCCUCUUGAUGGUAGACCAUGCACAGUACAUGUUGCGAGAUAAGCGUUAAAAUAUAUUUUGCUGCUACUUUCCAGCAUUCUUUUAAGAUUGUAAAUCCAGGUACUUGAGGCUUGCCCCAUGCUAUGUUGAACGGAUUAAAGUAUUGUUGUACUUGCCUUAAUUGUAUGGCUUACAUGGCUUUCACAUGUUUUGAUUUGCUUUCAAAUAAUCAUUUUCUGCUCAAGAUAUUGCAAGUCUGACCUAUUUGUUGACCUAGUAUUUCCUAACUAUGGAGGUCAGUCUUCUGUGCUUCUCUAUGUUUCCGCAGGCUUAUAUACAUGCAUCUGCAUCUGCACCUGCACUUGCAUGUGUAUGUAGAUUUAUUUCUCCACAUAUCGGAGCAGAUGACAUGUUUCUGUUCCAUCUGUUUGUGCAUGUACAUUUACCAGGAAAAUUCAAGCCAUGAGUGCUUUUGUUGCUUCUUUCCAGUGUCACAGAUAUUGCAAGACUUUCAAAAAAUGACAUUGUUUGAAGUUCUAAAAUGGUCAUUUUGUUCCAUGAUUGCGACUCAUGAAGAUAUCCACUAGGCACCUCAGUUCCAAUUGCAGAACUGCAUAAGUGAUUCAUUAUCAUGAUAAUCAAGGUGUUUUAAAGCGCUGGUUGCUUAGAAAUAGUUAACCUAGAUAAAAGCAUGUGCGUAGGUGUUCUAGGUGCAUCUUUGACAGCAUGGGGAACAUGUGGAUCAAACUGUAGACUUCCUUGAUCGGAUAGAGAUACUCUUGGUUUGUUCUUCUUUUCAUGGUCUCUGGUACAAUAGAUUGAGGCUAAUUUAUAAGCUAUAAGUGAAUACAGUGCCAUCGACAUGGAAUAAUUGUAAGAAUCUUCACUAAAUCAUGUCUCUCCGGCUGAAAAUAAGAUAGAUUGAGAAGAGAGGAUAGAAAGCAAGGCGAUGGAGGAAGAGAUGCAGUCGGCCAAUACAGCCCUGCAAUCCUUAAUCUCUAUUAAAAACAUUAACCUAAUUAGGUUACAACAGAUUUGUACAAAAAUAUAUAAAAUAUUACAAGAAUGCCACCGCCUAGUAUUCUUAGGCAUGUGGAUAUAAAAGAAGUAGAUCGGGUCUGAACAGACCCGAUCCCCAUAUGCACAAACUUAACAAUAAUAGGUCGAUGAAAAGGACGCCUAAUUUGGAAUCAUCGACUGCAUGGGGAAGACUUAUAUCAUAGUAUCUGCAGGUAUUUUCCCCAAUCCACUUCGUGAUUGCUGAUCGAGUACCUUGUUUUGCUGCUUCUCUUGACUUCGGCUUUAGGUAAUGUAUUGGGAGGUUUUUAGUGCCACAAUUUGGUCGGGUUUCAGUUGUAGGCAUCAGGUGGAUCGGUUGCAUGUAGUUCUGAUUUCAUCAACUAACAUGGACUGGAGGUCUCUUCAGGGAUUUUUGUGUUUAUAAAGUAUGGUGCCUUCAUUUCAAUUAAGUUGUCAUGCUCGUCAAGAACGUUAGUGUUGUAUGUUGUUGCUGUGGUGUUCUUUUCUUUUCACAUUUGCAGUUAUGUAGAGCUUAUUCGUCUGUUAGUGACUUGGGUGCACUUCAAGUUUAGUACCAAAAGUGCCUGCAAAUUGGCACCUGCUAUGAAAUUGGCUGGUUAUUGCUCAAAUUCCUUGAGUGCACAUUCAAAUUAAAGUCUGGUUCAAGUACAAUUGACAUGAACUUUGAAGCUUGUCUGAAGGAGAAGGGUAGCUGCUGGUACAGGUGGAUGGCUCUCUUCAAUCUAGUGGACAUCCAGAUUUUAUUUCAGGUCAGGUUGGAGCAGGUCCAGACCCGGACCCACAACUUACCCGCGUGAGAGCCCGACGAGGGCUGUUCUCCCUCGUCCACCUCUCGCUCUCCCCCUUCGUUGCCUCUCUUGUUGCUAGGGAGCUCCAUGCAAAGAAGAAGCAGGCGGUCGAGGGUGACAGAGGCGACGAGCGGGCCAGCGGAGGAAGGGCGGCGGCGGUGCUGCUCUGGUAAGCCCUCCCAACCUCUCUCUGCCUCUUCUUCUCCUCUCUUCCUUCUUCUUUUUCCCCUCCUCCCUCUCUCAUUGCUUUCUGUCGACUCCCCUCCUGUCCCUUGCUCUUCUCUGUCAUCUCCCUCUCUAAUCGGAGCUCCAUCCCGACAGCUCUCAUGUCCCCUCACUCACCCUCACGUUUUCUUCUCCCUUCUCACGCACUCUCACCCUCACUGCCGUCUUCCCCCUUUUUGUCCGAACCCUCUCUCUCUGUCUUCCCUCUCUGUCAGCGCCCUCUCUCUCUCAUUCGUUUUCAGCUUCCCACACCACUACCAUGGGCCUCUUCUAAUGACAGAUCCCUUUUUGAACUCCCUUUUGUUGAUUUUUGACUCUUUUAUGGCUUUUUGGUCGAUUUGCAGCUUGAAGACGCAUCUUUCCCCUCAUACUAGUGACUAGAAUGCAUUGGUGGAGGUGGCAUUGAGAGAUUUUAUCUGUUUGGGAGUCACUUGAACUUGUGAGGUGGUUGCUGGGAAGAUUGCAGCAGUUCAGACUCUUGAAUUGGGGUGAGCAAGGCGUAAUUGAGCUUAUUUUAUUGUAUAUUUUUUGUUGGAACACUUGUAAAUAUGGUUGGAGCAUGGUAGAAUUAAGUAUUGAUGAUUUGGGAUGCAUGUUAGUGACUUUGCUUUUUGGAAAAAGUUUAAGAUUAUGUUGGAGAAGCGUUGAUUCAUAUCUAAUGAUCUUUUAAGCUUAAGGUGUUGAUUUUCGAAGCUAUUUGGAAACAUGGUAGAGAUUUUGAUGUGAGUGAGAAGAAUAUGUAAGUUGGGUGUACUAUUGGGAAGACGCCUCAACUAAAGAAAGAAAGUUAAUGAGAAAUGUGUUAGUGAUGGAUUGAUCGAAGCAUUGAGUUUUGACGUUUGGUGGCAACAUCAAGAAGUUAGGAGGAGGCCUAUUGGAGGGCUUGUAGGUCGACACUACCCGUCGACACCCUCUUGAGGCCAAUGUUAUCCGUAUCGUAUGAUACGGACGCGUAUCGUAUGAUACGUAUCGUUCGUAUCAACAAAAACGAUACGACACAUGUUCUGUACAUGAUAUGCAUGCGUAUCGCACGUGUUAUCGCCCGUAUCGUGCGAUACGGGCGAUACACCCCCGUAUCGUGCGAUACGGGGUUAAAAUGAAAAAGGGGUCCGACGGCCCUUUUUUUGCGUCUUUUUUUAAAACCUACGCUCCUCUCUCUCUCUUUUCUAUUGUUUCUAAACACUGCAAGAGACGUGGGGGGGAGAGAUUUUCUCCAUUUGCAUCAAUAUUUGCCGGUGAAGAAGCUUUAUUUCUUGUUGUGGGGAGUCUCGGGACGGUGGGAAGCUUGGAGAAAGAGGGUUUUUUGGUUUUUAACACCAAGAAGGUAAGAAAUAACUCACAUCCACAGUAAGAAGAGGAAUAUGUUUGAAUAUAAAAGGUUGAAUGACCUUGUUCAGGUUGGUUAUAAUAUGAAGUUGAGACAAAGGUAAACACUUCUUUGGUAGCAUUUGGCAUACCAAAUGCGUGUUCUUGGAAUACAUGUGUUCAUAGGAAUAAAGAAUUCUUAUACAUACAACCUGCUGAUGUAAUAAUAGAUUGAUGCAUAUGAUUCAUAUCAAAGAUGUGUGUGUAAGAGGCAACCCAAACAAAUUCAAAAUAUAUAUUAAACAUAGCGCUAGAUGCAAUGCAUCAUACCCAAUGUUGCGAGAGGCCAAAAGAUUUCUUUGUCCAAACCCAGAUGGAGAAAUCAGAAGAUCAUACACAUAUUAGGAUGGUUAGUGACAUGACUUCUACUUUAAAGAUCAACUUGAGUAUUGAUGUGGUAGGAGCUUUCAAAUCAAAAGACUUUAGACCUACAGCUUUGUGCAACUAUUUUUAGAAAUUCAUCAUUAAGAAGAUGACAAAUAGGAUGAGACCCAUUCUUACUAGAAUAAUCUCUCCAAAGCAUUGGACCUUUUUGAAGGGUAGGAGAAUUAGAGACAAAAUCAUAAUAGCCCACGAAAUUGUCCAAGUUCACGACCGCUUUAGUAACUAUCAGUUAGGCUCAAGGUUAACCUUUCCAACGUUUAUGAUAGGUUGAAUUGGAACUUUCUCUGUAAUGCACUCUUGUGCUUGGGUAUCCAUCCAAGAUGGAUACAAAAGGUGAUGUGUUUUUCCACUAUGGCUUUCUCAAUCCUUAUAAAUGGAUCCAACCCCAUUUCCCCAAACCACUUCGCUAUUUCAAUGAAGAUUUUUUAAUGCAAGCUCGCAAGGCUUCAUGAAAAAGCUCUAGUCGGGCUAAGGCUCUGAUUCUGAUGAUAUCCUUUGUGUUUCCAAUGCAUAAGAGAUUUCAGUUCGAGCUCUUGGCAACACCUUUCAGGCAUUCUCUCAAGCCUCAAAUCUCAAUAUCAACGAGCAAAAGUGCAUAACCUUUUUCUCUAAUGUGGACAAGAAGAAGCAACACAAGUUUUUGAUAUAUUGAAAUGACAUCCAUCCAGUCUUCCUACUACAAAACUGAGAGCAUUUUUUAUUGCCAAAUGAGGUCCUCCCAUUGCCAACCUUUCCUUCAAAUAGUCUCUUGUCUAGCUGGAUGGAAAAGCAAAACCCUCUGCUAUGCAGGCCAAGUGUGCUUUCUCAAGUCAAUGGUAGCUUAACUUGUGGAGUAUUGGACUUUUUUUUUUCUUCGCUUGUCUUUAGGUGCUGGUUUCUAUUGAGAGACACAUGACCACAUUUUUAUGGGAUGAUUGGCUUGAAAGUAAGAAAUCUCACUACAUUGUUUGGAAAAUGCUUUGUAGACCUUACAAUGAAGGCAACAUUGGGCUUAAACUGCUCAAAGAUGUUAACAAGCCAGUGUUAGUUCACAUUAUUAUUAAUGUUCUAAUGUCUUACUGCCUAUGGACAAAAAUUCUUAGGAGCAAAUGUCUAACUGAAGAUAGCUUGUGCACCUGCAAAGUGAACAGUAGAUUCUCUAGUUGUAGAAACACGAGUUAAGUACUGGUCUGAGGUGAAAACCCAAGCGGAAUGGAUGGUGGAUGAAGGAAAAACACAAAUUUUUUUGCUCGACAAAUGGGGAACUAGUGUUCCAUUUCAAGAAAUUGAUGAAGAAUAUCAAAUAACGUUUCAUUAGGAUCUUGAGAUAAGUGCUCAAAAAAUGAUGUUUUCCUUUCUAAUUUCGUUGUCAGUAGACUGCAAAGAAGUUCACCUUCUAAUGAGCUACUCCGAUAAACUCUUCUGGGGUAACCCUUUCCACCAUAGAGCAAAAUGGUUUUUACAUAUUGCAUGUGAACAUAAACUACCCACCCUAUGUAGGUUAAAGGAAAUCAGUUUCCAACUGCCUAAUUGAUGCCCAUUGUAAUGUAAGCAAGAAGAGAACCUUGAUCAUUUUUUUUGUGUGUAAAUUCUCGUCUAAUUCGUGGCUGCUUAUAACAAGUUUUGUAGGAUGAGGACUUUACAAGCAGAUGUCAUCCAUGAGCUCAAAAGGUAGAAAACAACCUCACUGAAAAGAGAUUGUCUUAGCAGAUGUUGGAGUGUGGCUAAGUCAUGUGGAAAUUGUGGUCCUUGAGGAAUGAGGUGCUCCACCAGGGCACUACCUUCUCUAUUCCUAAAUUCAAAAGGACUGCCUUUCAAUCUUGUGUGGACUCCUUUCUUAGGACGAUAUGAGAAAAUUAUCUUAAUGGCUCAGUGAUAGAUUUUUUGUGGACCCUUGGUCUUCAUACGAAACAAACACUCUUCAUAUCGCCCUACUCUCCCUUGGGCUUGAUAAGGAUCCUAAAAUACGCUAUGUUGCUGGAAGAGGGAUCCAAGACUCAUUAAAUGAAGAGCUUUCUGUAGAUGUAGAGAUUACUGUUUGCUGGAGCUGCUAAUCCUCAAGCACAUCACCAAGUUUAGUGAGUGUUUUGAAGCUCAGAUUAUGAUCCGCACCAACAAUAGAAAAACUCAGCAUACCCUUCACAGAGCUCUUAAAAGCAGAAACAAGACGGUUGCUGACUACCUUUUGAAUCCAAUGUGUAGAGCUGCAAAUCCCCUAUCCUCUUUGGACUGAUAUGCCUAUGUUGGCCCAUAAUUGUUCUUCUUCUUUAUGUCAUGGAGGGAAAACCACAUUUGGUAUAAAGACUUCAAGGCCAUAUCCUUAUGCCUCUUAAGGUUCUCACUUACCUUGGGGGCUUGGGUGGACCUACAGUACAUUCAAUUCACUGCCAUGCAGCCCAGAUGAGUAAUAUACUAGAGUGUGACAAUGACCAUGAGAUUAGAAUAUUGGAUCCCUUGAGUGUCAGCCAACUUGCGACCCAACUGUGCUAUACUCCUUGAGGCAAAUGAUUUCUGAUUUGUUUGUGUUUGUGCUGCAAGAAUCGUCACCCUGUUGUAUUCAUUCUUGCACAAUGUUUUUAUGCAAAUUUAUCCACCAUUUAGGUAUGA